UCAUGCAGACCCUGUGGAACAUGAACCCCAUCUGCUCGGGCUCCGAGGAAGGUUUUGUCACCGGCGGCCACGUCCUGCGCCUGUUCCACGGCCACAUGGACGAGUGCCUGACCCCCACGGCCCCCGAGCAGGGCGAGGAGCGCAGCGUUGUCAACUACGAGGGCGGCGCCGUCUGCGCCCACGCCCGGUCCCUGUGGCGCCUGGAGCCCCUGCGCAUC